rnacentral:rRNA from 1 species
ACAUACGACCAUAGGGUGUGGAAAACAGGGCUUCCCGUCCGCUCAGCCGUACUUAAGCCACACGCCGGUGAGUUAGUAGUUGGGUGGGUGACCACCAGCGAAUCCUCACUGUUGUAUUUU